GACGAACGCUGGCGGCGUGCUUAACACAUGCAAGUCGAACGGAAAGGCCUCUUUCGGGGGGUACUCGAGUGGCGAACGGGUGAGUAACACGUGAGUAACCUGCCCUUGACUUUGGGAUAACUUCAGGAAACUGGGGCUAAUACCGGAUAGGAGCUCCUGCUGCAUGGUGGGGGUUGGAAAGUUUCGGCGGCUGGGGAUGGACUCGCGGCUUAUCAGCUUGUUGGUGGGGUAGUGGCUUACCAAGGCUUUGACGGGUAGCCGGCCUGAGAGGGUGACCGGCCACAUUGGGACUGAGAUACGGCCCAGACUCCUACGGGAGGCAGCAGUGGGGAAUAUUGCACAAUGGGUGGAAGCCUGAUGCAGCAACGCCGUGUGCGGGAUGACGGCCUUCGGGUUGGAAACCGCUUUCGCUCAUGACGAAGCUUUGUGUGACGGUAGUGGGUAAAGAAGCACCGGCUAACUACGUG
rnacentral:rRNA from 1 species